ensembl:lncRNA
GGCAGGUAACCUAGUGGUUAGAGUGUAGGGGUGGCAGGUAGCCUAGUGGUUAGAGUGUAGGGGUGGCAGGUAGCCUAGUGGUUAGAGUAUAGAGGUGGCAGGUAGCCUAGUGGUUAGAGUGUAGGGGAGGCAGGUAGCCUAGUGGUUAGAGUGUAGGGGUGGCAGGUAGCCUAGUGGUUAGAGUGUAGGGGUGGCAGGUAGUCUAGUGGGUAGAGUGUAGGGGUGGCAGGUAGCCUAGUGGUUAGAGUGUACAGGUGGCAGGUAGUCUAGUGGGUAGAGUGUAGAGGUGGCAGGUAGCCUAGUGGUUAGAGUGUAGGGGUGGCAGG